CCAGACUCCUACGGGAGGCAGCAGUGAGGAAUAUUGGUCAAUGGGCUUACGCCUGAACCAGCCAAGUCGCGUGAGGGAAGACUGCCCUAUGGGUUGUAAACCUCUUUUGUCAGGGAGCAACGCCGGCUACGUGUAGCCGGACUGAGAGUACCUGAAGAAAAAGCAUCGGCUAACUCCGUGCCAGCAGCCGCGGUAAUACGGAGGAUGCGAGCGUUAUCCGGAUUUAUUGGGUUUAAAGGGUGCGUAGGCGGGCUUUUAAGUCAGCGGUAAAAAUUCGGGGCUCAACCCCGUCCGGCCGUUGAAACUGGGGGCCUUGAGUGGGCGAGAAGAAGGCGGAAUGCGUGGUGUAGCGGUGAAAUGCAUAGAUAUCACGCAGAACACCGAUUGCGAAGGCAGCUUGCUAGGCCGGAUCUGACACUGAUGCACGAAAGCGUGGGGAUCGAACAGGAUUAGAUACCCCCGUA
rnacentral:rRNA from 1 species